GGAGACUGACUGUGGGAGUGGAGCAGGACUCCUGACACAACCAUUCUCUGAGCAG
rnacentral:miRNA from 1 species